UGGCGGCCAAUAAGCUGCCGUCGGCGGCGCUGGCGGCGCUGUUGGGGGCGGGGCCAGGGGAGCGCGACACGGCAGACCGGCUGCUGGAGGCGACGAUUGGUGCGCGCGGCGGCCCAGCCGACGCUGCCUGGGAGGAACUGGACCACCACACCGACCUCGUCCAGGUGGCCGAGUCGUGUCUGGACCAGGACGUGGUGGUGGGCACUGUCGCCUUCCGCCUGCUGGAGGAGCGGCUUCUGGCGCACAGCGAACGGACCCCGACGCCGAACCAGUGGUCGGCGCUGCUGCCGCUGCUGCAGGCCGGCCUCUGCUCCGGAGACGCCGCCGUCAG